AGCCCUGUGUAUAUCUGUUUGAAGCCCCUGUACCUCGUCAUUAGUCUUCCAGGUGUGUGUGGAGACGGCCUCACCUCGCAGCACGACCGCUGUGUGACUGGGUCCUUUCUUCUUUGAGCGUCCUACCUAAGACAACAGAAAUGUCUGGACGCCAUGAGGGAGGAAAGGAGUUGGGCAACGGAUGUAUCGAUCAGCUGUCACUGAAGGUGCUUCGGGACAACAUCCAGUGCAUCACCAAGCCAAGGGCGCAUUUUCAAAGCCUCAGGGCCUGAACAAUGCUUGUUCAAACAGUCCAAUGUAAUAUAAAUAAUCAGUAACGUUAACGCUGAAUUCUUUUGUGACCGUCCGAGGAUGGAAAAAAACAGAACAAGUUGCAUGUACAUGUGAGGCAUCCCUGUGCCUUAUUUAUCACCAAAACAACAAGACAUUAGUCUGAACCUUAUUCACUUUCUUUCUUCUAGGGCCUUACUGGUGCCAUCAAGCCCGGAUCAACUGCAGCUGCAAUGUUCAAGUUAAGUGCUUAAUGAUAUGUCUUGUGGGGUUUGAAAUGGUAAUGGUUGCAGAUAUGGACUCCUUUUGCAUUCAGGGCUUCAGUCCGUUUCCGUGGUGUACAGGCCUGGUGUGUGGCUGGUUUGGUUUCUGUGACUGUGUCGAUAGUCUAGAUGGAUUCGGCGUUACUGUAAAUUCUGCUGUUUCUUAGUAAACAGGGUUUUCCCUGGUUCACCAUCUGUUGUCAUUUCUGUUUUAUUUCAUGGUCAGUGGUUUUCGGGGACCUAGACCAUUACAUAAGCUGCCUCGUGUCGUUUUCUUGGGUCCCGAACCAAGAGGACGACACAGGCCAGAAAGAAACACAGGUGGUUGAACAGCCUAUUUAAUAUUAGUAGUUUAUUCCUUUAGAACAAGGACGUUAUAUCAGCUAUAACGUCCUUGUUUAGAAAUACUCGACAUCUCGGCGUUGACACAGUCACAGAAACCGAAUCAGCCAUUCAUUGGGCUUGUACACCACAGAAACAGACUGAAGCAAUGAGUGCAGAAGUAGCCAUAUAUAGCUCUCGAAAUUUAAACUGAAGUUCUUAACUAUAUUUCUGAGCCAAGUUUAAUCUUUGUCUCGUUUUUUCUUUCUUUCUACCGAGGAUCAUCGCACCGUACGAGGAAGUGUCUGGACACGGAAAGGGAGGCGAGGACUGGUGAGGGAAGGUACCGGACGUGACCGACUGGGGAUUCGCAGUCUUCCCACACAUAUGACAAGAAAUGUCUCGGCGCCAUGAGGGAGGAAAGGAGCGGGGGAACAGAGGUGUCAAUCUCCUGUCACUGAAGGUGCUUCAGGACAACAUCCAGUGGAUCACCAAGCCAAGGGCGCAUGCAGUCUUUCCAAGACAUACGACAAGUUAGAACAUAUGUGUACAUGUGGUGCGAGGCAGCUUAGGUGUGAGGCAGCUGAUGCGUCCAUACGUCCUGCUUUUGAACCUGUUCCUUGGAGGAAGGAAGCAGACAAGAAGACUGUGGACUGUAUUAACACAACUGUACAAGAAGUUGUGAAGGAGACAUCUCUCAGCAGCGUCCAGGAUCGUAUUGGUGCCAUCAAGCCCGGAUCAACUGCGUGUGGUGGGACUUAUCCUGGUGAGAGGCUGCCUGAUGACAUCUCCACGGCGACGUGCAGAAAGAUGCACUCAGGACUUCAGCGCGCUUUUGUGGUGUACAGGCUGAUGUGUGGUUGAUUUAUUUUCUGCGACUGUGUCGAUGACUGGGAUUGAAUUCGGUCAAUUACUGUAAAUUCUGUUAUUUAAUAAAACAGGAACUUUCAUGGUU